AGCUUCUACUAAACUGGAAUUAUAAUGAACGCUGAAAAUAAAUUUAUCAUAGACUCUGAAAAAGAAAUUGAGGUAGUCACAGCCGCCAUUAGGAGCCAAACCAGAUUGAAAAUGAACUACGAAAUGAAAAGAUUCAGAUUUUAGUUUUUGGAUCAUACUCGGUAUCAUCACCUCAGAUGCUGGACAACCUCAUGCUUGCUAAAACGAACUUCCAAGUCACUUUGGCAGCCAAAAACCUUGACAUGUGGCACAACACCUUUUUCCACAUCACCAGCUAGAAUCGAUUUGCAGGGCGAACACAACCUCAAAACAAGCACUUCGAAUGCCCAAAAGGACUUAAUACAGGAAUACAGUUCUUGAUCUCAAAGCGUAGUAGAAAUACGCGAUACAUAUUAACAUACAGUCCUCCCAAAAGACAAAACUUGCUGAUACAACAAAUGAAAUCUAGUAAACCAUAUUCGAU